GAUGCUGAUUAGAAGAAAAUUGGACAAGUGUCGUCUGCUCUCGAUUAGUUAAAAAAUUUCGAAAAAGUCAGAGACAAAGUUAAAGAUUUGUUAUAGAUUUAUUUGUUCAUGAUAACCGACAUACUCCAUGCUGUUUAGCGGAUUUGAGGCCAGAGACCCAUCAUAACUACACAAUCUGCAAGUUUUUCUUGUGCAGGUGUUAACCUGUUGUCAGCAACAAUCUCAUGAUCAUCGCUUGGGUACAAAUCAUCCCAUCCCAUUGCAAUGCAAUCGAAGGCAUUGUCAAUCGAGUUACGGAUCUCUCUUUUUCCCCUUUCUUUAAAUGUCGUUCGUGUACGCCCAUGUGAAUGUGGGUGUAUUCACGAGGGACACCCUUUUUACCCUAUCCCGUCUGCUGUCAUUUAACUCUUCAUCGGAUGGAUGGAGCAACUGUACAGAUGCCUGUGGCUGUAUUUCCCUGGCCUAAAGACGCACGUGUUUACAUCUUCAUUUGUUUGCCCUUAUAAUUCCGGCUGAAAUGAGAUGAUCGUAUUAUGGAAUCAACCUCCUGUCAAAGUUUUACAAAACACAAUAUUUGAAGGAAAUGCAUUGAAGAAUGGUGGGCCUAUAGGGAAGAGGGAGGAUGAACAACGGAGGGAAGAGAGAGGAGCUCCGUCUGCCAAGUAACCUGAUAUUUCCGGAAGGGAAACUAUACACUGAGGAUAUAUUUUUUUUUCUCUUCUCUGCUUUCGGCGUCUUUUAAGAGUGAAGCAAGAAGGGGAAAAAAAUCAUUCAUUUACAAGAAGCAUUAUUAGGUGAAGAAAGCAAAGCAUUUUUUUUAACGUUUAAGCGCUAUGAGAUUUCGCAGAGGUUAACGCAUUAAUUGGAAAGGUAGUGCCAAUGCCAAAAAGCUAUGUAAUGGUUAAAGUAAUAUGCUAAUGGUAAUGACAUCAAACACACAUUACAGAGUUUGUAAUAACAAAUAUUGUGACAUUAAGAACACUAGAACACUGUAUUAAAAAAGCAUCUUUAAGUUUGAAAUAAAUUACAAUGCAAGAUUUAAUGAUGAUUUAAAUUUUGUGUAAUCCCACAAUUAGAUGGCUCAUUCAGUCAUAGUUUUGUAAUGCCCUGUUUGUCACUGAGAGUAGCUCGACGACUUCGCUAUCUAUCUAGAUCUAGAGUUGCUGUUUUUUAACGUUAUAACUAAUGUGUCCGUUAACGUUAACGGUAUAGUAAAAAUGCUCCACCCUAGAUGGC